rnacentral:rRNA from 1 species
CCUACGGGCGGCAGCAGUGAGGAAUAUUGGUCAAUGGACGAGAGUCUGAACCAGCCAAGUAGCGUGAAGGAUGACUGCCCGAUGGGUUGUAAACUUCUUUUGUCAGGGAGCAAGUGGGUCCACGCGUGGGCUUAGCGAGAGUACCUGAAGAAAAAGCAUCGGCUAACUCCGUGCCAGCAGCCGCGGUAAUACGGAGGAUGCGAGCGUUAGCCGGAUUUAUUGGGUUGAAAGGGUGCGUAGGCGGAAUAUCAAGUCAGCGGUAAAAAUUCGGGGCUCAACCCCGUCGUUCCGUUGAAACUGUUGUUCUUGCGUGGGCGAGAAGUAUGCGGAAUUCGUGGUGUAGCGG